UACGAGUGCCCCAAGCGUUAUCCGGAAUUAUUGGGCGUAAAGGGUGUGUAGGUGGUUGUGUUAGUCUUCUGUUAAAUUCUUCGGCUUAACCGGGGGCAUGCAGAGGAAACGGCACAACUAGAGGAUGCGAGAGGUAAAUGGAACUCAUGGAGUAGGGGUGAAAUCCGUUGAUAUCAUGGGGAACACCAAAAGCGAAGGCAAUUUACUGGCGCACUCCUGACACUGAGACACGAAGGCGUAGGUAGCGAAUGGG
rnacentral:rRNA from 1 species